UACGUAGGGGGCAAGCGUUGUCCGGAUUCAUUGGGCGUAAAGAGCGUGUAGGCGGCCAGGUAGGUCGGUUGUGAAAACUGGAGGCUCAACCUUCAGAGGUCGACCGAAACCAUCUGGCUAGAGUCCGGGAGAUGAGAGUGGAAUUCCUGGUGUAGCGGUGAAAUGUGUAGAGAUCGGGAGGAACACCGGUGGCGAAGGCGGGUCUCUGGGCAUCUCCUGACGCUGAGGCGCGAAAGCGUGGGGAGCAAACGGG
rnacentral:rRNA from 1 species